GGAAGCAUUUCCGCUGAAAUUCAUCGCUUAUAUCGGGACUUCCGGUCUCCUCCCAGUGGUGGCUGCUUUGCUGCUCUAGGGUGUGUUCCGAUUCUCCAGCGCCAGGAUGGGACCAAGGUGAUGGAAGAGAAAUGGGCGCGUGGCAGAGAGGCGGGUUCGCAACUCGGCGACGCCGCCCGGGCUGCCCACUCCGGGGCCGGGACAGGGACUGCCGGCCCGGGUGUCUGCUCCGCUCACAGAGUCCGAUGGAGGCAGCCGCGCGCAGGGACCCGGCUGAGAAGACUUGUCACCUGACCAAUGAACAUCCCCCAAGAAUCUCCAUCCUCAAGACAAUGAACUUCCUGCUUGGACUUGGGCUUGACUCCUCUAUCUUUGCACUGCAAACCCUAAAUACAGCCUGCUUGAAACCCCCAUUGGACUUGCCUGUAUCUUUCUACAUUAUAUGUGCUGAAUUGCAAUUUCUCUGUCAUUCCUAAAUAAAAUAAAUUUCUGGUAA